rnacentral:rRNA from 1 species
GACGGAGGGGGCGAGCGUUGUGCGGAGUCACUGGGCGUAAAGCGCGCGCAGCCGGCAACCUCAGUGUCGUGUGAAAGCCCCCGGCUCAACCGGGGGAGGCCAUGGCAAACUGGGUCGCUCGAGCUGCGGAGAGGCCCCUCGAAUUGCCGGUGUAGCGGGGAAAUGCGUAGAGAUCGGCAGGAAGACCAAGGGGGAAGCCAGGGGGCUGGCCGCAGGCUGACGCUGAGGCGAGACAGCGUGGGGAGCAAACCGG